rnacentral:misc_RNA from 1 species
GUGUCACUUCAUGCAUAGUCGGCCGGUCAGAUGGCUGCCUCUUCGUACAUAGAAGAGCAAGCUGAAAAACUUUCUUUACAGCUCCUAGAUCUGUACAAGUAGCUGUGAUCUCAGGAUCGACAGUUUCCAUAACAGCAUUGUUGGCUGUCUUGGAUAAUAUCAGUUGAUGAAGAUUGCAUUCAUUGUCAACUGCUUUCUUUCCAGUAAGCAACUCAAGUAGAACAAUCCCAAAACUGUACACAUCA